AGCUUGUUUUUCCUCCUGUUUAUUUUGUGUGUACAUGACAUGACCACUUAUUUCUUUACAGUGAUAAGAAAUGAGAUUUUCUGUGCCUGAAAAAGUCCCGUUCUGCUUUACUGAAGGAAAAAGAGGAAAAGGUCUCUGGGCUGAGAUGCUGCUGAAGGUCCUCAGUGUGCUGAUGAGAGAGGGAAGCAAGGUUGUAUCCUUUCGCUCUACUUUCAAGUGUGAUAUAGUCAAGGACUGACUAAAGAGUAGAAGAAGGAAAGACACGAGGACACAAGCAAAUAAAGGUCAAACCAGAAUCCUCUUGUCA
rnacentral:lncRNA from 1 species